rnacentral:rRNA from 1 species
CCUACGGGAGGCAGCAGUGAGGAAUAUUGGUCAAUGGACGAGAGUCUGAACCAGCCAAGUCGCGUGAAGGAUGACUGCCCUAUGGGUUGUAAACUUCUUUUAUAUGGGAAUAAAAUGUUCCACGUGUGGGAUUUUGUAUGUAACAUAUGAAUAAGGAUCGGCUAACUCCGUGCCCGCAGCCGCGGUAAUACGGAGGAUCCGAGCGUUAUCCGGAUUUAUUGGGUUUAAAGGGAGCGUAGGUGGAUUGUUAAGGAAGUUGUGAAAGUUUGCGGCUCAACCGUAAAAUUGCAGUUGAAACUGGCAGUCUUGAGUACAGUAGAGGUGAGCGGAAUUCGUGGUGUAGCGGUGAAAUGCGUAGAUAUCACGAAGAACUCCGAUGGCGAAGGCAGUUCACUGGACUGCAACUGACACUGAGGCUCGAAAGUGUGGGUAUCAAACAGGAUUAGAUACCCCAGUAGUC